GACGAACGCUGGCGGCGUGCUUAACACAUGCAAGUCGAACGGAAAGGCCCUGCUUUUGUGGGGUGCUCGAGUGGCGAACGGGUGAGUAACACGUGAGUAACCUGCCCUUGACUUUGGGAUAACUUCAGGAAACUGGGGCUAAUACCGGAUAGGAGCUCCUGCUGCAUGGUGGGGGUUGGAAAGUUUCGGCGGUUGGGGAUGGACUCGCGGCUUUUAGCUUGUUGGUGGGGUAGUGGCUUACCAAGGCUUUGACGGGUAGCCGGCCUGAGAGGGUGACCGGCCACAUUGGGACUGAGAUACGGCCCAGACUCCUACGGGAGGCAGCGGUGGGGAAUAUUGCACAAUGGGCGGAAGCCUGAUGCAGCAACGCCGCGUGCGGGAUGACGGCCUUCGGGUUGUAAACCGCUUUCGCCUGUGACGAAGCGUGAGUGACGGUAAUGGGUAAAGAAGCACCGGCUAACUACGUG
rnacentral:rRNA from 1 species